UCCACGCCCUAAACGAUGUGCACUAGCUUCGGGAGUCUCUGACGGCUUCCGGAGCGAAGGGAAACCAUUAAGUGCACCGCCUGGGGACUACGGUCGCAAGAUUAAAACUCAAAGGAAUUGACGGGGGCUCACACAAGCGGUGGAGCAUGUGGCUUAAUUCGAAUCAACGCGAAGAACCUUACCUGGGUUUGACAUGUUUGGAUGCCCUUCCGAAAGGGAAGUAAGCUGCCUUC
rnacentral:rRNA from 1 species